GCUCAGGUGGCGGAAUGGUAGACGCUGAGGACUUAAAAUCCUUUGGCCGUAAGGCCGUGCGGGUUCGAGUCCCGCCCCGAGCACCA
rnacentral:tRNA from 1 species